AUCAGUCUCUAUCCCUAUAAACAAUAUUGUCCCAGGGUCUAAACCCGUCCCAUAUACUUGAAACCCAAAUAAAUUACCAUAUUUAUCUAAGAACUUGUCAGGGUUAUUUAUAAGUAUAUGGAUUGGAUUGCAUUCCAUAGACUUACAAUAUGGAUUAGUAGGCAACUUAGUCACAACCAUGUCCUUGUCUGCUGUCUGUCCCCAAGUCGCCCACCCCACACAAGACCAAUAUGGGCAGAAGUUAUAAUCUCUAUUUGGGCAUCUUGGACUUACAUAUUUAUUUUUACUACUGGGACAAAUAUAUUUAUUGUUAGACCCAUACGUCCUCU